UUAAUUUAACCUUUAAGGCAAUAGAUAAGGACAUUUUCUUUUCACAUCCUUAUUAUUUUACCCAUGACCGUGAUUGGGCAGCACUUUGCAGUUAGCACCCACAAUCCACCCAUUCCGUCGAGGCGCUGUCAUCCCUUGUCGUGAUUUGCAGAAAUGGCGCUAGCAGCACUUCCUCUAUUCUCAUAUCCUCCAUACCAUUGCUCUUCUUCUAUAAUAAACCCUUCACAUUCCCGUCAUCUUCAAACUCAGUCCUUCAUCUCCCCACUCACCAAAUCACAACCACCAAACAACAACUAUCUCCUUUUCCAAUUUCGGCCCUCCAUCCACUGCCGCUGCACUUCCCACACGCCCAAUCUCGACUUCCAAUACGUCAGACUUGUCACUUUGUUUCAAGAUAUCGGUAUCAGCUUUGAGGAAGCCAAUUUGCUCUUGAGCAAUGCUUCCGAACUGACCUCGAUACAACUAGAUUUAUUGCGGGAUCGCAUUCUUUCUUUAAAAUCUCUUGGGUUAGGUCGUAUGUCCAUCAAUCACAUAGUUACAAAGCAAUUAAAUAUGCUAACUUCAAAUGAAAUUGACCCAUUGUUAAACUUUUUGAGAAAUGAAUUGCAAGGACAGGUUAAGGAAGCUAAGGUGAAACGUCUUUUAUCGGCUAAUGAGCCGAAAGAAUUAUCUGAUUUUCUUCAGAAGGUUCAAUUGCUUAUUGACAGUGGAAUUGGGGUUGAUAAGAUUGGACAUGUGCUUAACAAAGUGAGUUUGUCAAAGGCAAUUUUUCAUAGGUCAAUGGAAGAAAUUGAAAGUGUAAUUAGUUUCUUAAAACGAUUUGGUGGUGUUGAUUUGAUUGUGAAGCGCCCUGCAACUCUCAACUAUGAUUUGGAUAGUCAGCUGAAGCCGAGAUUCAGGGUUCUUACUGAGUUAAGUGGCGGAGAUGAGGAUAGUGUUGGGAAAAUGGUGAAUAGGUACCCUCCAAUCUUAAAUUUUAGGGCAGAACAUCUUGAGGAACAUAUAGUGUUCUUGAGGUCUUUUGCAGAACUUGAUGAUCAACAAAUAUUUAGGAUAGUGUUGGCGUGUCCAUCUAUUUUCAGUAGAAGUAGAGAGAGGAAACUGCGUCCUAGAUUACAAUUUCUCAAGGAUUGUGGGUUAGACUCGGGCGAUAUGUUUAAAUUAUUGAUCAGAGGUCCGAUGUUUUUGGCCAUUUCGUUCCGCAAUAACCUUGAGUGUAAGCUUUCGUUUUUGGUCAAGAUUGGGUAUGAAUAUAGGACGAAAGAGUUGGCCGCGGCAUUAACGGCUUCUUCUAGAAUAAGCUGUGCGAAUAUGCAGAAGGUGGUGAGUGUAUGCUUGAAUUACGGGUUGUCGUCUGAAGACAUUUUUGCUAUGAGUAAGAAACAACCACGGAUACUGCAGUGUAAUCACGCCUCGUUGGAGAAGAAGAUUAAGUAUUUGAUAGAGGAGAUGGAUCGUGACAUUCAGGAGUUGUUGGAUUUUCCUGCAUUUCUUGGAUACAAUUUUGAUGACAGAAUUAAGUAUAGGAUGAAGUGGAAAUUGAAAUGAGGAGAUUGAAGUCAUGGUGUUGUUUGAUCUGCCGUGAUUGUAGUAGGAAUUGGUCUGGAAAAUGUAACUGAGUUUGGUUGUAUUGGUUCGUUCUUGCCCAACACUUUUCAGGAACUUUCCUUGAGGGGUUUCUGGUUGCAGAAUUGGUUGAGUACAGAUAAAGCUGAGGAGGGCAGAAGAAUGAUUGACAAGCUUUUGGGUCUUGUACAAGAUGGAAAGUUAAAAUACAAGUAUGUCCUAAAAUUCAAUUGCUCAUAAAUUCAUGACCCUUUUUGAUUCUCUCAUUCAGUCUACAUGUUAACCGGCUGGACAAUGCUUGCAAAUGCUUGCAAAUGCUUGCUUAUGAUGUUCAUGAGUCAUCAUGGAGUCCUUCUCACAUCGGCGACGGUUCUUCAGGUUCUGCUAUACAACCUGAUGGCACUACAUCGACUUCAAAGGGAACCGAUUCUAUAACCAGGCUAGCUUCAAAUGAUUCCUUUGAUUUGAAAUUGUAUGUAGGAAAUGCACUUCUUGUGGUAAUCCACUUCUGCAGUCCAAACCAUUAUAAAUAUGUGAAAUUAUAUGUCAACAUUUAGAAACUGCUAAACAUGUAUUUAUUUAUUUAGAAACUUCUGAAGAGAUAAGAUUUUUUGUAUUUAUUGUUAACCUUUUAUAGUUUUGUAUGUAUUUAGAAACUUCUGCAGAGCUAUGAGGAUGAAUUCUGAAUAGAAACUAAUGCAGAGACAUGUUAUAUCUUCUCACUUUCUAGGUAAUGGAAUUUGAGUUGAAGAAGUUGUAUGAUUCUGUUUCAUCCAUACACGAUGCGAUGUUUUAUCUUCGCAAAAGGUGUAAAUGUCAUAACUUUUUUAACUACUCACUUGAUAUUCGUCAUGUAACAUGUUGGCCUAUUUAUAAGUUACAAUUUCUAUGGUACAACCACUUCUUCUAUUUUCCUCCUCUUCAUCUCUAUUCAGAUUAUGAGCUAUUUUUAAGUUAGAAUUUCUAUGAUUUUGUUUAUUUGUUACUAAUGUUGAGAGAGAAAGCAAUAACAGUGACAUUUUGAUAACUAUAUGGUAGAAUUUUAUAGAAGAAUUUAUGGAGGUCUCAAUUUGUUAAGAACCUUGAAUCUACAGACAAUUGUAUCGUUUUUUAGAGCAACCCAUAUUUUUCUUGGAAGUAAAUGUCUGAAUUUCUUGAUUUUUUUUCUUCUACUAGAUACUAGACUCACAUGUUUUUUCCCAGAGACAGUUGUCUGGUGAGGAUGAUGAAGUAAUUGAUGAAACUGCUUCCUGCCAAAUCAUUGUCAAAUUUCGCAGACAUUAUUUCUAGAUGUGUGCAGGUAAACUACUCCGUCUAAAGAUCAAAAUUUCCUGCUGUAGACCCUAAACUACAAUGUUUGCCAAUGUUUGUAUAGGUUCACGACCUGCUACAGGCCAGACAUUUCCAGAGUUAAUAACAAAUAUAUUUCUGUUGCCAUGCCGACACAAACGUGCUGCCAUCGUAUUGCUUGGUGAACCUUCAAACUCAUGUUUGGACCUUUGUUGGCCAUUGCUGGAAGUUAUGGGAAGUGGAGGAAAGGAGGAAUCUACCAGAGGUUUCAUGCCUUAAUUUCUCAUUAUUGACUUGUGUUUUGUCCUUAGAAAUGAUUUUUGUUUGUCUCUGUAUGUGUUGUUUAUGAGCAAUGUUGCAGGAAUGUCUAGAAGCCGCAGAUGCUUUAAAAAAGCAAGAGUGGACUGAGGCACAACUUGAUAAAUGCAGUAUUAAAGAGGAUUAUUUUGUAAAAUGCAAUCUUUCUCCAAUUUGGGAAACAAGAGUGAACCAGCUGUUACAUUUCCAUCAGUAGCCAUCAGUAGGGGGUAAAGAGUGCCCAGUGCAUACUGUUGAAGUUGAAAAUACUAUAGGCACUUCACUCACUUCCUGUGACUAGCAUGAACAAAUAAAUUCAAUACAGGAAAAUCAAAAUUUUAUUCCGAAUUCAUUAGAAUCGAACUUGCAGAAGCAAGAUUGUUAAUUAUUCUCUCCAGCAAUCUAUUUACGUUGCUGAAAAAUCAAGGUCGAGUUUUAAAUUAUAUAUUGGUCAAUUGGGGGAAGAAACUUUCAUGCAUAGAUCAUUGCCUCUUGGUUUGGAUCGAAGACGAAACCGAUACUGGCAGUUCAUUGCUUCUGCUUCUCUAAGCGAUCCAGGUUGUGGCUGGCUAUUGGAAGCUGAUUGAUUCUGAAGAGAUUAUUGCUUCUAGGAGGCUUAAACCCGACAAACCCCACAAAGUCAUCAGAAGGAUCCAGAGGCUUAAAAUAAGGACCUCGCUUGAGACUGGAGAAACAAAAGGUUGGUGGAAUGAAGUAAAAAAUACAAUUAAUCUCAUUCAAAUGAUGCAUAAAUCAGAUGAUAUAGUUUUGACUGUUAUAAUUUCUUAUAUUUCUAUUUCUUAGGUUUCUAAAUUUUUUGUUGGAAAUUUCGAUGUAAUGCCGAUUUUAAUCAAUGAAUGGAUCAUUUAUGGUUACACAUGUUGUUGUUUUGGUAUUAUGAGAUUGAGUUUAUUCCACGGAUGCAUCUACAGAAAUGUUCCGUAUGUACAUAUACGAAGCAAAACAACAUUGAACAAAAAAAAUGCUUCCCGAAGACUUCUAUGGAAACUGAAGGCAUUAUUGCCAAUUCGGUAGUGCGUAAGAGAUGUAUGGGGUGGGAUAGGAAAUUUUAUUAAUUUAACCUUUAAGACAAUAGAUAAGGACAUUUUCUUUUCACAUCCUUAUUAUUUUACCAUGUCCGUGAUUGGGCAGCACUUUGCAGUUAGAACCCACAAUCCACACAUUUCGUCGAGGCGCUGUCAUCCCUUGUCGUGAUUGUGAUUUGCAGAAAUGGCGC